CCGAGUUAGGGUGUCGCCUCGGCGCGCCCGACCUCCCAACCCUUUGUCUACCUUACCACAACGUUGCUUCGGCAGGCCCGCCGACCCCUGGAGUCCGCUCCGGGGUGAGGCCGCUGGGGGGCUCUGUGCCCCGGGCCCGCGCCUGUCGAUGGCCCUUCUUAAACUCAUGUCUAAACGUGUCGUCUGAGUAAUAAUUGUAAUGCAAACCA
rnacentral:misc_RNA from 1 species